CCAUGUGAUUUCCAGGCCACAGACGGCCACUCUGGCGCCUGCAGCCUCUCAUCUGACAGCUGGCUGACCCACCAGGACUAGGCCUGAGUGGACACAGCUGUGGGCAGGCCCCGGGGCGGGAGGCUCUGAGCCACCGGCAGGAACUCCCCUGUCGGCCAAACUGAGGGCUCAGACCCACGGAAUGCAGCACCCCCGGGGGCUCAGCCCUGCCUUGGGCACACGCGCCUGCAGCAGCCCACCCGGCCCCUCUCAGAGGCCAUGUGUGGGAGAGACGUCCUUCCUGGAAACGCCGAGUGCUAACAAACCGCGGGCAGAGGUGCUGCGGGCACCCUGGGUGGCACUGUGCCAGGACUCAAGCCCUCAGAGGGGCCUGAGACAGGGCAGGAGGGGUCAGAGGUCGGCAGGCGAGCCUGCGGCCCAUGUUUUUCAGCACCGCCCUCGCCAGGGGGGGUCCCAGAUGCACAGACCGGGGGUGCGUGCCCCACUCUGCCACCCCACUGUGGCCGAGACAGCUCCAGGAGGGCCUCGGGGGGCUGACGGCUCCCAGGGCAGGCAGUGUGGGCAGCGUGCCGGUGAGCGCAGGCUUCUAAGACACAGCAUCCGGGGGCAGAGGUGCCAGCCCAGGGGAGAAGCCGAGGCUCCAGAGCCAAUCAGGGCCACAGAGGACCUUCUGGGCUGUGAAGCCUGGCCUCUCGAGGCCUCCUUUCUGUAUCUUCAGAAGCAGCCAUUUAUACCUACCAUCCAAAGCUGAUGUCUGUCUGAGCACACGAAUGUGGAGUUCCCGAGAGCCUGGCAGGCACACAGUGGGUCCGCACCGAAGGCCACCAGCGACAGCAGGCUCGUCACCGAGUUGGUCCGGCGGAGGAGGCCGGCCGCUCCCAGGCUCACACCUUGGGUGGGGUUCACCACGGCCGAGGAUGGUACCUGGAACAGCAGAGUAAGAGCCCGGUUNNNNNNNNNNNNNNNNNNNNNNNNNNNNNNGCCAGGCUGCCCCUCACACGGCCGCCGCCUCUGCCCCGAUCGCCCGGCGCUGACUGGGGGGUCGGCGUGGGUUCACACAGAGUCGAGAGCGGGGUGCGGAAGGAGACCAGAGAGCUCUGUCUCUGGGAGGGAGAGGCCCAGCUCUGGGGGCUGGGGUCUCAGCGUCUGGUCUCCGGGGGGCCGGGGUCUGGACGGGCUGGGGUCUCAGGGUCUCGUCUCCGGGGAGCCAAGGGGCCGGGGUCUCAGGGUCUGGCCUCCGGAGGUGCCGAGGCGGUGGGAGUGCCCAGGCCGCAGGGAGCGCCCGUCCUCCAGGAAGAGGC
rnacentral:lncRNA from 1 species